GAAAUGCGAUAAGUAAUGUGAAUUGCAGAAUUCUGUGAAUCAUCGAAUCUUUGAACGCACAUUGCGCCCCCUGGCAUUCCGGGGGGCAUGCCUGUCCGAGCGUCAUUUCUGCCCUCAAGCACGGCUUGUGUGUUGGGUGUGGUCCCCCCGGGGACCUGCCCGAAAGGCAGCGGCGACGUCCGUCUGGUCCUCGAGCGUAUGGGGCUCUGUCACUCGCUCGGGAAGGACCUGCGGGGGUUGGUCACCACCAUAUUUCACCACGGUUGACCUCGGAUCAGGUAGGAGUUACCCGCUGAACUUAAGC
rnacentral:misc_RNA from 1 species